UUUUCUUUCUUUGCUGAGUCUCAGGGGGAGGGCCUCACUGGCGGGGUUCUUAACUAAUUGCAGUAUAAAUAUGCAACCACUUUUGGCUGAACAAAUUAUUUUCUUUAAAACGAACUCCAGGUCAGUGAGUUCAGGUAGAGAAAACUGAUGGGCUGAGAUUUCCACAAUCAAACCCAGAAAGAAACUUCCAGGUCAUACCAGGACACUGAGAGCCUCUGUCCCUUCUUCCUGUCCUCCUGAGUGUAUGUUCCCAUGGCCUUCGCUGUGAGUGGAAAAGUCUGAAGCAGG